rnacentral:snRNA from 1 species
GAUGCAUGAGACGGGAUCAUCCGACAAAAUUGGAACUAUACAGAGAAGAUUAGCAUGGCCCAUACGCAAGGAUGACACGCACAAAUCGAGAAGUGUGCCAAAACAUC